CCCAGACUCCUACGGGAGGCAGCAGUGGGGGAUAUUGCACAAUGGGGGGAACCCUGAUGCAGCGACGCCGCGUGGAUGAAGAAGUAUUUCGGUAUGUAAAGCCCUAUCGGCAGGGAAGAAAUUGGACGGUACCUGACUAAGAAGCCCCGGCUAACUACGUGCCAGCAGCCGCGGUAAUACGUAGGGGGCAAGCGUUAUCCGGAUUCACUGGGUGUAAAGGGAGCGUAGACGGCCAUGCAAGCCUGGAGUGAAAGCCCGGGGCCCAACCCCGGGACUGCUCUGGGAACUGUGCGGCUGGAGUGCGGGAGGGGCAGGCGGAAUUCCUGGUGUAGCGGUGAAAUGCGUAGAUAUUAGGAGGAACACCAGUGGCGAAGGCGGCCUGCUGGACGAUGACUGACGUUGAGGCUCGAAAGCGUGGGGAGCAAACAGGAUUAGAUACCCCCGUA
rnacentral:rRNA from 1 species